ACGUUCUCUUCCGGCCGGAGUCAGUGGCGGGGUUCUCGCCGGUCCUGCGGGUCGCUGCUUGGCUGUGGGUUAGCAGCACCCUGAGCGGAGCGGAAGAGCUGCCCGCCGCCGCGUAACCCCGAGGCCGAGACUCCUGGCCUGGCCUCCUUGGGCCCACGACGCCUGCCCCGCGGAGCGGACCCAUGGGCCUGAGGUCGGCACAGACGCAACCCAGUCUCCUCCCACCUCCGAGAGUGCAGUGUCCUGAAUGGAGAACCCCAGCACCCAGAAGCAUCCACUGAAGGACUAAAUUCUACACAUGAAGGCAAACGUCCGUGGUUGACAGAAAUUACACUGGCCAGAAUCCCCAGUCCCCAUGAGGCUUGUCCAGACGCAGUGAACCAGUCGCAGCUGAUAACACACAGACCAUUCCCGAUCCCAGAGGUGCAUUUCAGGAUUCAUUCUAUUUCAUCAGAGACGGGGUCUUCCUGUGUUGCCCAGGCUGGUCUCGAACUCCUGGGCUGAAGCAAUCUUCCUGCCUUGGCCUCCCAGAGGGUUGGAAUUGCAGAUGUGAGGUGUGUCCUGGAACCCUGGCUGCACCCACAGAUACAGCCACUCCUGGGCCCAUGUGGAUGUAACCUUCGAGUGCCGGAAUGCCUCGUCUCCAUGGAGACCAAACUCAAGGGCCUGACUGGCCCAGUCUACCGAGACCAUGAGACCUGCUGUGCCCCUCGGCCAGGCCAACCCAAAUUCUUUUAAAUAAAAGGCACAAGCCACAGCCACA
ensembl:lncRNA NOP14-AS1 NOP14 antisense RNA 1